rnacentral:snRNA from 1 species
CUUAUAUUUUAUUUAUUUGUUU